AAAUUUCCACUGAAUUUUUACUGGAAUGUUUCUAAUGUUUUUUAAUGUUUUCAUACUGCUAAUACUUAUCAUAGAGUUCCUUUAAGCCCUUAAUAGCCCGGCAGCAUUGAUAUAGGCCAUCGUCGUACAUCUGAGGGAAGAUAUGCUUUAAAUAUGUGACAAUGAUCUGGACGAGAAAAAUACCUUGUUGCUUGAUCGUGACGCCAUUUUGGCUAGAAAUCAAAGCGCCUGCGAUUAACUUGACAGCGGUUAUCUUCUCAGGCGGGCUUUCUGUGCCCGAGGGGGGCUCGGUCUACCUAUAAGUCCCUAGGUUCAGGAGGUUUUCGCGCCAAUAAGACCAAACGAGAUGUUUUACUCGGAGUUAUCGUUUGCUAUCUUCUUCAAAUACUCAGCUUUUUCGCGUUUAUCAGCUAGCGAAAAAAAGAUAUGAGUGAAUUGAGUCUGGCAUCUUUUGAGGGAACUUUGAAUGACAAAGCCAACCGACCAAGUUCGAGAAACACGCUUAUCACUAAACCUAAAGUUCUUAUGUCGUUGUUGGAAUACGGUGAUAUCGAUGGAAGCGCUAAAACAGUCAAAGGGAAAUGGCUGCUGCUCAUCGCAUCUUACGCGGAAUUCUCUGUAACAUGUGGAAGCUAAUGACUCAGUUUGAAGUUGGACUACCUUGCAAAACUUGUAAUCUUCCGGAUUGUAUCAUGGCACACCAUCUGUGUACUCCCCAGCCCGCUCAUCAACAUCAUCGGUUUCACAGGUACAGUCUGUACUAUAAAUUCCUCCAGAAAUGCAAUGCUCCAUUUUGGCUUAAAUGGCAGAGUUUACCAUACUCCGUAGAUUAUGCUCACACAGCCCAUUACCAGCUUCCCAAAUAAUCUUCUCCAAGUCUCAUCAUUUCCUUCCUUACAUGUGGGUAAACAAUUUUUAUUAUACCAUAUCUGUUUUUCAAUAUUUUAUAUAAUUUUUUUAUAAUUUUAUCUUAAGUAUAUCCCUAGUUUAUAAUGCGUAAUUCUUGUUGAGCUGUGGUUGAACAGAAGGGUGUAAUUUAGUUGCUUGUUAGGUUACCAAUGUACUUCUUGCUGGUUUCUUUUAUACUGUAGUACAUUUUUACUAAUACAUUUAUAAUCAAAAAUGAAGAGAAAUGGGGGCUUGGGGUAAAACAUAUAUUUGUUUAAUACAUUUACAGUUUAGUGACUUAUUGAAAAUAUUAGAUGAUGUAACAUUAAUAAAUCUCUACUUAAUUAUUACAUGUGAUUAACCCUAAUUUCAAUGGAUUUAAGAAUGCCAAAUAUUGCUCAAGGAAAAUUACUCUGCAUCUUAUUAUUUUUGGUUAAACAAUUUUCUCUGGUUGUCUGCCACAGUGGCACUUGCUUGUCCUAGCUAUCAGAGCCUUAAAAUCCAGGACUGAAUUGGCAACUUACACUCCUGGAAAAUAUUAAAGUUGGUGGCCAUUCCAUAAAUGGUGUUGAUAAGAAUUCCCUUUGAAUGCAGCGUGAGGUUUGAUUGAAGCUUCUCUAGCUUUACAAAUGGAAUCAUGGUUACUUAUUACCUUUUCUAUAAUUAUAAAUUCUAUGCUAGAGUCUACAGAUCUUUGUUUGUGUUUAGAUGGUACUGUACAUACAGUAGAUCACCACAGUUACAUUGAAUGUAGCUGCAUGCAGAGCUCCAUAGGUACAGAAAAAUGCUAUUUUGCUGUGACUCUGUUUUUUGUUCAUAGUUUGGGAACCCUGUGGUUUUGCCUGCUUUGCCACCCUAGCUAUCUUUCUACACUUCCUUGGCACACCUUCCCCACAAAAACCUAAAAAGUGGAAAAACAAUUUGUGAAACUCUCUUACAGUUAUAGACAGUUUGAAUCAAAGAAUCUACAAUUUUCUGCUGUCAAGGUCAGGCUUGUGCUUGGCCCAAUGACCUUUCUGGUGUGGUAACUGGGGUGAUAACUGCUGACCAUGGUUUACAAUUCAGUAUCGUCAUGAUGACAAUAAGACAAUAAGAAAAAGAUUUGUCGCUUUUACAGUAAGUAUCAAAAUAUUACUAAACAAUCAUAAUUCCAUACAAUAUAUUGAGGUAAUGUUACUUGUUCUUACGAAUAGCUUGACACACCCAGCUCUGUGAACUGCUCUAGGUGUGCUAUUUUUGUUCAAAAAUUGCAUAAUUCAGAGUAUGCAUGUGUGAAAUCACAUGUUUUGUUUUGAAGUGGAAGAAACAUUUAUAGUCCAUCUUACAGCUUGUGUUGAUUGGAUUUACAUUUGUGUGCUAAAGCUUCUUGUGUAGAUGGCACUUUGUGUUGCCAUACUGGUCAUACUUUCUGUAUCAGUACAGAGAAUUAUUGCUCAUCGAAAUGGGUUCACACUGAUAGUGCGGAAACGCUAUUCGUACCUGUAAGCUCCGUACAGGUAUAAAUAGCCUGUAUAAUGAUGAUACUAAUUACAAUAAUGACAAUAAUGAUAAUAAUGACAAUAAUGAUAAUAAUGAUGAUAAUGAUAAUAAUGAUAAUAAUUAUAAUACAAAGAUUUUGGCCAAAAAGCGGAGCCAGGUUUAUUACAAUAUUUUCAUAUGGAGCAGAGACGGAUUGAGCUUUUCGCUCAGUGACAAAGGGGGUCAUUAUUUUUUGUUACAUAUGGCUUUCUGGCAGCCUAAACAUAAUGAAGCUUGACCUUCUCCCAAUCACAACUUCUUUUGCAGCACACCCAAAAAUUAUCGGUGAUAUUUAUGCCAAGGAUAUCAUUUACCAAUAGCACAAGAGGAGGCUAUGAGCUCUUAGUGUGUAGCUGCAUUUGAUUAACAAAUGAUACCUUUCUAUGCAAUAAAAUAAUCAGGUCUAAUAUAUAUGUGCCUGGCCAUGUUCUCAGUUCUUAUGUUGAGUACAACUUUGAAGAUCAAGAGACUUGAGCAGAUGUUUGCGGCAAGAUAACCCAAAACACCCAAAUCUACCCAUGAUUAAAAUUUUCAGUCCUUUUUAACACUUUUAUCAAGUUCAAGUACUAAAUUAAUAGAAGAUGAAACAACAUUUUUUUAUACACUAUCCUUCGCCUAUUUUAUUCACAAAGCACAGUUAUCCUUACAGUAAAAUGUUAACCUUUAAAAACCCAACAGAAAAUUUUCAAGCACCAAAGAUUUGCUGUCUUAAAUGCAGCCACAGCAUAAGAUAAGAGUAGAAAAAUCACAGUUUGGACAGCAUUCAUUCAGGGAGGGGCUCCUUAAAAGGUCACACGGUCACAAAA